UGGGGAAUAUUGGACAAUGGGCGCAAGCCUGAUCCAGCCAUGCCGCGUGAGUGAUGAAGGCCUUAGGGUUGUAAAGCUCUUUCAGUAGGGAAGAUAAUGACGGUACCUACAGAAGAAGCCCCGGCUAACUUCGUGCCAGCAGCCGCGGUAAUACGAAGGGGGCUAGCGUUGUUCGGAUUUACUGGGCGUAAAGCGCACGUAGGCGGAUUGUUAAGUCAGGGGUGAAAUCCUGGAGCUCAACUCCAGAACUGCCUUUGAUACUGGCAAUCUUGAGUCCGGAAGAGGUGAGUGGAACUCCUAGUGUAGAGGUGGAAUUCGUAGAUAUUAGGAAGAACACCAGUGGCGAAGGCGGCUCACUGGUCCGGUACUGACGCUGAGGGACGAAAGCGUGGGGAGCAAACA
rnacentral:rRNA from 1 species